rnacentral:lncRNA from 10 species
AGUCUCCAUAAUCUAAUCUCCAGAAUGCACUAAACCAGGAGAAGAUCCACCUGGUAUCAUAAUGACAGUUCAUUUUCAGGAUAAUUUCGUUGUCAAAGGAAUGGAAGAAUAUUAAGGAGAACAAGUCCUCAUCUCUCCAAAGACCCUUCAUCCUUCAUUUCACAAUAGUCUUUAUUGGUCUGCUGGAGUUUGCUGGAGGUCCACUCCAGACCCUGUUUGCCUGGGUAUCACCGGCAGAGGCUGCAGAGCAGCAAAGAUUGCUGCCUGCUCCUUCCUCUGGAAGCUUCAUCCCAAAGGGGCACCCGCCUGAUGCCAGCCAGAGCUCUCCUGUACGAGAGAUGCCCUGCCCAGUGAGGAGGAAUCUAGAGAAGCAGUCUGGCCAUAGCUUUGCUGCACUGCGAUGUUACCUUUUUGACAUAACCAAGUAAACCAACAGGCUUGAAGACACACCGAUCAUAAAAAUGAAUCUAAGAACCCAGGUGUAAUCUUCUGAUUUCUAGGUCCCAGCGCUUCUCAUUUUUAAGCAGAGUUUCAUAGAAAUACUCUAUUCAAACAAACAAACAAAAAAAACAGAAAAGCCACAGACCUCUGUAACAUUUAAGCAGAGGUGUCCUCUUAGUAAAAUGUAAAAUACAUGUGUGAAA